UACGUGGGGAGCAAGCGUUAAUCGGAAUUACUGGGCGUAAAGCGUGCGUAGACGGUUACAUAAGUCAGGUGUGAAAGCCCCGGGCUCAACCUGGGAAUUGCAUUUGAGACUGUGUAGCUAGGGUGCGGAAGAGGGAAGCGGAAUUUCCGGUGUAGCGGUGAAAUGCGUAGAUAUCGGAAGGAACACCAGUGGCGAAAGCGGCUUCCUGGUCCAGCACCGACGUUCAGGCACGAAAGCGUGGGGAGCAAACAGG
rnacentral:rRNA from 1 species